UUUUGGACAAUGGGCGCAAGCCUGAUCCAGCCAUGCCGCGUGUAUGAAGAAGGCCUUCGGGUUGUAAAGUACUUUUGUCAGGGAAGAAAAGCCUGAGGAUAACACCCUCAGGUCAUGACGGUACCUGAAGAAUAAGCACCGGCUAACUACGUGCCAGCAGCCGCGGUAAUACGUAGGGUGCGAGCGUUAAUCGGAAUUACUGGGCGUAAAGCGAGCGCAGACGGUUAUUUAAGCAAGAUGUGAAAGCCCCGGGCUCAACCUGGGAACUGCGUUUUGAACUGGGUAACUAGAGUGUGUCAGAGGGGGGUAGAAUUCCACGUGUAGCAGUGAAAUGCGUAGAGAUGUGGAGGAAUACCGAUGGCGAAGGCAGCCCCCUGGGAUAACACUGACGUUCAUGCCGAAA
rnacentral:rRNA from 1 species